ACAGAAGUGGUUGGGCGUCGUGAGGAACGCAUCGGCGGCAGAACACUCAAGCGGCUGGUUGUUGAGAGCACGCCAGCUGAAGAGCACCCCUGCACACUGGCAGGCCAUCCACAGGUGUCAGAAACUCAGCUCAGCUGGAAGAAACUUGAUGUACCAGGUAUCAGAGUAGCAAGUAAAGCCACAAGCCAAAAAUGAAAGAGAAUCUUUUAAGUGCUUAUCGUGAUGGUGUAAGUAAUUGUCCAAAAGAAACGCCGAUUCCUUCUGUUCCAUUUUUACCUGUGGAUUGUGGAUUGAAAUAACCAUUGGACCAUGAGGAGAGACUCUGAAGAGAGAGACUGCAAUGUGCUGACUGUGCACCAAGUCUGUUCCAGAGAGGGUGACUACCUUCCUUGAGGACUGUCAGGCUAGUGAUAUGUGAUAUAAUACUCUUUUGUGACGUUGGACCAUGGCAGUGAGCCGCAGCUCCCAGUCAGCAAUGCGAUCCCAAGAAUAAACAACCGAUUCUUGACAGUGUCCUAUGUUGCCAGUCGAUUUUGUUCAACAGUAGGUACAUGCAAGUACACCCCACUCCCAAAUUAAAAAGAUUGACCUUAGCCAAACAUAACACGAGAGAGAGGCAGAAUCUCACUCUGUCACCCAGGAUGGAGUGUGGUGGCGUGAUCAUAGCUUACUGUAACCUCAAACUCCUGGGAUCAAGCAGUCCUCCCACCUCAGCCUCCAAAGUAGCUACGACUACAGGCAAGCACCACCUAAUUUAAUCUUUUUAUUUUUUUAAAGACAAGCUCUUGCUAUGUUAACCAGGAUGGUGUAGAAAUCUUGGCCUCAAGCAAUCAUUUUGCCUCCACCUCCCUAAAUGUUGGGAUUACAGGUGUGGGCUACCACACUUGUCAAAUGAUUUCCUUUCUUUUGGACAUAUAAACAUCAAUGGGAUUUCUGAAUAAUAUGGUAGCUCUAUUUUUACAUGUUUACAGGAACCUUAUACUGUUCUCCAUAGUGGCUGCCUUAAUUUACAUUUCUACCGUCAGUGUACAAGAAUUCCCCUUUUCUACCUCCUCACCGGUAUCUGUUAUUUUUGAUACCUUUUUGAUAUAAACCAUUUCGAUACAAGCCAUUUUAACUGGGAUGAGAUGAUAUUUGAUUGUGGUUUUGAUUUGCACUUCUUUGAUGAUUAGUGAUGUUGAACAUUUUUCCAUAUAUGUAUGGGCCAUUUGUAUGUCUUCUUUUGAGAAAUAUCUGCUCAGAUCUUUUGCCAAUUUUUAAAAUCAGAUUAUUUGCUUUUUUUAAAAAAAACUAUUGAGUUGUCUGAGCUCCUUAUAUAUUCUGGUUAUUAGUUCCUUGUCAGAUAGAUAGUUUGCAAAUAUUUUCUCUUACUCUGUGUGUUGUCUAUUCACUUCUCUAAUUGUUUCCUUUGCUGUGCAGAAGCUUUGUUAGAUUGAUGUAAUCACAGCUGUCUACUUUUGCUUUGGUUGCCUGGGGUUUUCAGGUCUUAAACACACACAAAAAAUCUUUUUCCAGAGCAAUAUCCUGGAGUUUUCCCCCAGUGUUUUCCUCCAGUAGUUUUAUAGUUUCAGAUCCUACAUUUCAGUUUUUAAACCAUGUUUUACUUUCAUUUAUUGGUUGGUGAGAUACAGGUGUCUAGUUUUAUUCUUUUGCAUAAAGUUAUACAAAAGUCUAUAUAUACCAGUACCAUUUACUGAAAGUACUUGCCUGUUCUUGGUGCCUUUGUCAAAGAUGAGUGGGUUGUAAAUGUAUGGAUAUAUAUCUGGGUUCUCUAUUCUGCCCCAUUGGUCUAUGUGCCUGUUUUCAGUCCAAUGCCAUGAUACUUUGGUUAUUAUAGCUUUAUAGUAAAUUUUAAAGUCAGAUAGUGUGAUGCCUCCAGCUUUGUUCUUUUGGUUCAGAAUUACUUUAGCUAUUUGGGGUUUCUUUCUUAUGGUUCCAUAUAAAUUUGGGGAUUUUUUUUCUCUUUCUGUGAAGAAUGUCAUGAAUAUUUUGAUAAGAUUGCACUGAAUCUGUAAACUGAUUUUGAUAGUGUUGCCAUUUGAACAUUAAUUUUUUUAAUUCAUGAGCAUGUAAUAUCUUUUCAUUUUUCUCUGAUGAAAAAGUGCUCAACAUCACUCAUCAUCAAAGAAAUGAAAAUCAAACCACAACGAAAUAUCAACCCACCCCAGUUAAAGUGGCUCAUAUCAAAAAGACAGGCAAUAAUAGAUACUGGUGAGGAGAUGGAAAAAGGGGAAUCCUUGUACACUGUUGGUAGAAAUGUAAAUUAGUAAAUCCACUGUGGAGAACAGUAAAUUCCAUUGACAUAUUUUAUCUAUGUUCAUCAGGAAUGUUGGCCUGUAAUUUUCUUUUUGUUUUGAAGAAAUUAUAUUUCUUUCAUCUGAGUUUUAUAGUUUUUCUUGGAUAGAUCUUUCACAUCAUUAGUUAGAUUCCUACAUAUUUUAUAUUUUUGUAACUAUUGUAAAUGUGAUUGCUAUCUUGAUUUCUUUUUCAAAUUGUUCCCUAUUGGUGUGUAUAAAUGCAACUGUUUUUGUAUGUUAAUUUUGUAUCCUGCAACUUUACUGAAUUUAUCAGUUUUAACAGGUUUUUGCUUUUGUUUUUUCUGGAAUCUUUAGGUUUUUCUAGAAGAUCAUGUCAUCUUCAAAUCAGGCUAAUUUGACUUCUUCCUUUCCAAUUUCGAUGCCCUUAUUUCCUUUUUUGCCUAGUUGCUCUGCCAAAGACUUCCAGGGUUAUGUUGGGUAACAGUGGUGAAAAGUGAGCUUCCUUGUCUCCUUCCACUAUUUAUAGGAAAGGCCUUCAAUUUUUCCCUAUUCAAAAUGAUGUUAACCAUGGGUUCAUCAUAUAUGACCUCUAUUAUUUUGAUGUAUUUUCCUUGUCUUUCCAUUUUGAUGAGGAUUUUUAUGAUAAAAUGUGUUGAAUUUUAUCAAAUGCUUUCUGAUGGCAUAUAUUGAAAUAGAAAUCAUAUGAUUUUUGUUCUUGAUUCUGUUAAUGUGGUGUAUUAUAUUUAUUGAUUUGCAUAUAUUGAAACAUCCUUGCAUCUCUGGGACGAAUCCCACUUGAUCAUGGUGAGUAAUCUUUUUAAUGUGUUGUUGAAUUUGGUUUGGUAGUAUUUUGUUGAGAAUUUUUGUAUCUAUGUUCAUCAGGGAUAUUGACCUGUAGUUUUCUUUUGUUGUUGUGUCCUUGUCUGGUUUUGGUAUCAGAGUAUGCUGAUCUUUUUGAAUGAGUUUGGAAGUGUUCCUUCCUUUUCAAUUGUUUUGGUAAAUUUGAGGUAGAAUUAGUAUUGGUUCUUCUUUAAAUGUUUGGUGGAAUUAAUCAGUGAAUCUACCAGGUACUGGAUUUUUCUUUGAGAUUUUAACAUCAGGCUUAAAUCUCCUCAUUAUUGGCGUUCGUUUUCUAUUUCUUCAUGGCUCAAUCUUGGUAGGUUGUAUGCAUUCAGGAAUUCAUUCGUUUCUUCUAGGUUUUCAAGUUUGUUGGCAUACAGUUGAUCAUUAUAAUCUCUUAGCCUCUUAUAAUGAUUCUUUGUAUUUCUGAGGUCUCAGUUGUUUGUGUCUCCUUUUUUGUUUCUAAUUUUAAUUAUUUGGAUCUCUCUUCUCUUUUUUAGUCUAUAUAAGGGUUCAUCUCUUUUGUUUAUCUUUUUAGAAAAACAACUUUUCAUUUUAUUGAUCUUUUCUUUGGAGAAGACAAGAUGUUUAUUGGUGCUUCUCCUUGCACCUCUAUUUAUGAAAGCAUUCAAAAUUGCUUUGCUGAUAUGAAAGAUUAAUUUAUUGGUUUCUCUGACGUAAGCUUAUAAUUUAUUUAAAUCUAAAUUGUGCAAAGACAAUCCAACCUUCGAUGAACUUUUAAAAUGAAGUUGUUUGAGGUCCGGUUUUCCUAGAUACAAAGGAUACAUUUCUCAGGAAUAUUUUAAUAAUGGUUUAAUGAAAUAGCGUCACUUAAUUCUUAUGUUUUAUAUAAGAUAUUUUAAUUAAGAUGUGCCAAAACAGUUGAAGACAAUAAUUAACACAGGAAAACUACUUCAAAUAUAUCUAACAUACAUAAAACCAAUUUUAAACAUGUAGACAUUUAUGUUUCAUAGUUUACAAAAGUGAUGGUCAUGUGAAAGAAAGUGUAAUGUAAUUAAAUUUUCACUUUAGUUUAGGAGAAUAGUAUCUAUAAUAUUGAAAUCUUUGUCUAAAAAUGCUCAGUACCAAGUAAAAUUAAAUAUCUGUAAAAUUAUCUCAAAUAUCUUAAUAUUGUCUGCAAAGCAAAAGGUGAUUAACUCUGCAUAUCAUUUUUAUUUUUAAAUUCUAACUUGUAAAGCGUAGUAAAAUUUUCCUGUGCAACACACACAUAUAUUGUCAUGCAAUGUAAUAUUUAUUCAAAAACUUAGAGAGAUUCAUCUUUUAUUCCUUGAGGCAGAAAAAUGAAUUAUUUGAACUAAAAGAAAAAUGGACAUGUGCUCCUGUAUGAGGAAUAUUUAACCCCAUGUCUCUGAGGGUGUUUCUGUUUAAAUUACAUCACUACAGUUAAACAUAUAUAAUAUACCAUGGUAAUUGUGAAACACAAAAUUCAUACCUACUGAACCAUUUCCUUGAUAAUUUUUCUCUUUGUACCCCUAUAUAUGAAAUUCUAAAUUCUCUUACAGAUAUUAGAGAUUAAUUUAUUAAUUUGUCUGCCAAACCUGAGUUUAUAAUUUAUUCAAAUCAAAAUCAAUAUUACUAUAUAUUACUUUGUUGUCUUUCAGAGAUCAGUAAUUAUCUGUGAGAGUAUAGUAUUUAGUUUUAGGAUUAUUAUACAUAUAGUUAAUCAUAAUCUUUAAUUAGGUGCAGAAAAUUGUGUAGUUUUAAAUUCAUAUAUUUGGCUGCAUUAGUUAAAAGGCGCUAGGCAUUAUUUUGUUCAGGUACUUUAGGAAAAUAUCACAAAUGAUUACUUUGGAGGAUGAUAAUUGAGUAGGCACAGUGUGAAGACAAUCAGAACAGUAGUAAUAGAAACUAGAAGGGCCUCCCUAUAAAGGGAGAGUAUGAGGGACUGCCUGGAGAUCAUGCUUGGUCAUAGUGCCCUGGGAAGACUCCCUAACUACACAAAAGGUACACACUUACGAAAUUACAUAAUUACUGAAAUGACAGUAAAUUCAAAGAGAAAUGAAUUGCAUUCUAUGACAAAAUGCAUAUGAAGUCGAGCAUCCUAUCCAACAGGGAAAGGGGGCUUCUUUAUAUUAAUUCAAGCAUCAAUAGCAUUUAGGGUACUCUUUCCUUUUAUUAUUUAUUUAAGGUUUGCUAUUUUUUUUCUUUCUGAUAUACUCUAUAAUUUGUCUAACAUACAAAGAAAGAUUAUACAGUUUUCUACCUCUUUGACUAUGAAUUAUUUAUAUCAUUUUACAAACAAUUUAAAUUACAACUGACAGCUGCUAAAUUACAUAGAUAUAUCUUGAUAGAAACAAAAUGCUCCUUGAAAUAAAUGACAUACUUAGAUGUAUUUCUUUUUCAAUACAAACAUAUGUUUUGUAGUACUUUUCGUAUAAUCUUAUCUGUUAAACUUGAGCAAGUAGAAGUGCCUUUUAUUAUAGUAGUAGAAAUACUUGUAUUUUGUGAAAUUCUCAUACAUUGAUGAAAGUAUCAUAGUUGUCUAUUAUUUUUAUUAUAAUCUUUCUAUUCUAGCAUAAGGCUAAGCCCAAUAUCUGUGCUCAGUUAAUUACUGUUAAUUUUUUGUUGAUAGGUAAAAUUUGUAAAUUCAAUUUUGGUUUUAUUUUUAGAAAACAAGUUUCUCAAUGUCUGUGGUUAAUUGCGUUAUACUUGUCUUAAAAUAAGUUUAUGAUAACACUGAUGUAUAAUACAUAAUUAAUAUUUUACUUCAGCUUGAGUGGAAAAAUGAAAAUCAUUAUAUAGUUUAAACAUUGUUUUGGUAGUCUUGAUUAACUGACAUCUUGCCAUUAUCACAAUUACAAUAGUAACAGUAAAAUUUUUGCAAAAAGUUACAAUUUAUAUUUUCAACUAUAAUUAUUCCUGUGGUUUAAUAGGUUUUACUACCUCUCCCUGAACUGAAAGAGAAACUCACUAAUAAAAAGUUUGCAGUGAUUAAUUAGAAACCUGUUGUAACCCAUCUUUUGAAGACAGAUAAAUUGUCUUUUCAUUUUCCUCAAGAUAAAGUUUUAUAGUAAUUUAUUUUUUCUUCCAUGGCAAUUCAUGGCUUGGAAAGUUACUUUUCUUGUUUUAAUAUAGUUCAAGUUUACAGAUAAAAAUAAAAAGUUCAAUUUGGUUUUAUAUAUGUGUAUAUAUGUGUAUGCAUAUACACAAACACACAGACACACACACAUAUAUAUAUUUAUUUAUUUAUAGAGAUAUCCAUUUAUGUAGAAUAAACUCACUCAAGCUUAUGUUCUGUUAACUUGCCAGAAUAUCUGAGAGCAAAGAAUGUCCAGUGCUCCCUAAAACUUUUCACAAAGUCAUUCACUGGAAGAGGGUCUUUAGGAAAUGAGUUAUGGUGCUAAAGAAAAAAUGUGAGCAGCAAAUCCUCUCUCAAAUCUCUACCUAUAUUUAUAUCCAUAUGGUCAUUAAUAAGAAGGAUUCCAGUUGUCUUUCUCAUCAUCAGUCUUAAGUAAUUGUAUCUAAAUUUAAAUGUAAAGCCCUUUUAAAUUAUUUUCAAGCUUUUCUGUUUUUCAAAAUUAUGGUGUCAGAUGGUAAAUUCAUUACACUUACAUGGAGAAUACAUUAUAAACGUUAAUUACUGUAUUUUGCUUUACAUGAAACCAAAGGUUUUGCAUGCCUUGGUUGAUAUAUAAUGGCACUUCAGUGAUGAAAAAGAUAAUUAUACAAAUCUGCUGGCCCCGACCUCAACGUCUGCACUGAAUUAUUUUUCUAGAUACAAUACCAUGUAAAUACAAACAAACAAAGCAAACACAUCAGGUAUGAUAUUGAAAAAAACAAAGAAAACAAAAGACAAAAAAUAGACACCUUCCAAAUAUUUUAUUCUCUCUAAAGAAUACUUUAUUCUCUCCCAAAACAUUUGGGAGAGAAUAAAAUAUGUUUCUUGGUUGGAUCACAAAUUACAGUUCAAGUAUCUUGUCCCAAUGCCUAAAAUAACUUUUUUUUGAAAUUUUUAUUUAUAUGUACUCUUGACAAAAUUGUCAAAAUCAAACACAUAACUCAUUAAAGACAAGGACUCAAAUUGUGUAUACUGAUUUAAUCUCAAUAGGUGUGUUACUAAUUUAAUGUUCACUUCAUCAUCUACAUAAGCUUUUUAAAGUGGCUAACAUCAAGAAUAAAAUAAAAUAUGAGACAAAUUUCUUGAAAGAAUUAUAUUAUGUGAAGCCAAUCUUGCUUUUCUUCGAAACAAACUGGUAUUUUAGUGAGACUUUCCACAUAUUUCACAUUGAAAAACUGACUUUAUAAAGGCAAAUGUUUUGACAUUUAAAAUAUGAUCAGGAAGAGAUGUGGGUAAUUCACUGAGCAUUCUGUGUCUCAGGUUUUUCUCUGUAAAAUCAGAACAUUAAGUAAAAUUAUCUUAUGUUUUUUUGCCAGCACUCUUCCAAUUAUGGAACAGACCAGUUGAGUAGCUCUAGGAAAUCCAAAUUGUUUCUCAGUUUUCUCUUUUGCAAAUCCCUGUUCCAUCAAUGUCAAAAACAUUUUGUGAAGAUAAUUAUGAUUAAAUAAGUGUUAACAAUUUUUUAAUGCCUAAAGAUGUGAUAGGAAAUGGUAACAAAAUUAUUUUCUAUAAAUUUAUUUAUAAUUUUUAUACUUAUAAGUUAAUUAUGUUAUUUAACUUUUUAAUAUAAAACAAUAACUCCAAAUAUAUUUUUCCAUUUUACUCAGUAAAUUUAAUGCUAUUUAAUAACAACCAUGUUCUGUUUGUUAUGCUAGUUAUCUCCAUUUGCCCCCAAAACAAUGUAUCUAGAAAUACAGUGAUACAAGAACAAUUUAUUUCUUCAACAAGAAGAAUGAUCUACUGUUUGUAUCAACUGUUUACCGUCUAUAAUCACUUAAUUUUCCAUCUAUGUUUCUCAUGCAAAUUAAAGUUAAUUUCCAACAGUUUAUUUCUGGGCCAGACCUCUCUCCUGUAUUUCAGAUUCAUAUGUCCAAAUACCUAUUUAACAUCUCCAAUUAAAUAUUUAAUGGAUAGCUUAUAUUUAAUAUAACCACAACUGUCAACAUUUUCACCUGUAUCAUCCACCAUUUUACUAAGAUAAUUCCAUUUUUGCAGUUGUUCAGUCUAAUAAAUUUAGAGUCAUGCAUAAUUCUUCUUAAGCAUUCAAUAAUCAAUCAAUCUAUGGGGGAAUCUUGUUAAUGCAAAACUAUGUACAAUCUAUUUUUUGUCCCUCUACAUCUCCAUCUACCCCCAUGUUUCAAACUACCAUCAUCUCUUACUUAGAUAAUGUCAUAUUUUUCAACUUUCACACUGGCCCACCUCAAUCGAUUAUCAACAAAGAAACCAAAGUGCUGAUGAUAUUAUUCAAUCGGUACUCCCUACUUACUUUCCAUCUCACUCAAAGUAAAAUCCAAGAUUCCUGGAAAAACUCAUAAGUUCUUCUCCACAAUCUGACAUAGCGCAUGUCUCAUUUCCUCUCUGCCAUCACUCUUGAGAUUUUUCCUUCACUUGGUCCACUGAAGCCUCAGCCUUGCUUUUCAAAUUUUCCAGACUUGCUACCCUGUACUCGUUUCCUAUGAGUGCAAUGUUCUUUCUGAUAUCCACAUGUCUCACCAAUUUUCCUUGUAGUACUCUCUACUUACUUUCCAUCUCACUCAAAGUAAAAUCCAAGAAUCUUACGAUGACUCAUAAGUUCCUCUCCACAAUCUGACAUAGCCCAUGUCUCAUUUGCUCUCUGCUAUCACUGGAGAUUUUUCCUUCAUUUGGUCCACUGAAGCCUCAGCCUUGGUUUUCAAAUUUUCCAGACUUGCUUCCCUGUACUCAUUUCCUAUGAGUGCAAUGUCCUUUCUGAAAGCCACAUGUCUCACCAAUUUACCUUGUUCAUCAUUUUGUUCAAAUGUUUUCUCAAAUUGUUGCCUUCCUUAAUCAUAUUACUAGAAAUAUUCCAAGCACUCCCUGUUUUUCUUCCCUGCUUCAUUUUCCUCCUUAGAAUCAUCUAAUAUCCUGUAUAUUUUUACUAAAACAUAGUUUAUUGUUUCUCUCACCCACCAGAAUAUAAAUUCUAUGAGACUAGAAAUUUUUAACUAUCAUGCUUACCUCUAAUGCCAGAACCGAGAUCAGUGCCUGGCACUGAAACAAAGAGAGAUUAUUCUAAUUAUUUUUCUUUUAAAAUUCUUCUGUUGAUUACUAGAACUGCAAAACUCAUCUCAAUAAAAAGUCUAUGGCAGUUAAAAUUAUAUUCAUAUUGCUUUUUCUUCUUAGUCACUUACAGUGAUUUCUAAUAUAACAAAAUCAUUUUAAAUGUGUAUUAGAAUAUGGAUAUACUUUCUGUAGCAGCCCGAAAAGAAAUAGAAAAAUAUCACAGUUUGAAACCAUAUAGGUCGUUUUGGUUGUUUUGUAAUUUUUAUUCUUAAAAGACAUUACAUUAUUAUAAAGACAUUGUAAACUUUACCCAUAAAGCUUGCAGAAUGUUGUGCAUUAAUUCGUAGGAUCAGAAUUAACAAUAAAACUCAAGCACCAUAUUUGUCUAGAAAAACCACCUCUCAGCUAACCAGUGAACAUGGAUAUAAAUAGACCCUGAAAUCUGCUCUUGGUUAAUUCACUGACUUAAAGCACUGUGACAGAUAAAACAAGUUAAACAUAAUUAAGAAGGCUAGCAUAUUAUCUGGGAUUCUAGUGCAAAAGAAAUAUGAAGAUAACCUCAAGAGGAUGACCUAGGAGGAAGACAAGACUCUAGCCAGGAUUUUGAGUGCUUACUUUAUAAAGCUGUCUGUAACAUCUGUAGCAGCAAUGUUCACAAUAGCAAAGACUUGGAACCAACCCAAAUGCCCAUCAAUGAUAGACUGGAUAAAGAAAAUGUGGUACACAUACACCAUGGAAUACUAUGCUGCCAUAAAAAAGGAUGAGUUCCUGUUCUUUGCAGGGACAUGGAUGAAACUGGAAACCAUCAUUCUCAGCAAACUAACACAUGAACAGAAAAUCAAACACCGCAUGUUUUCCCUCAUAAGUGGGAGUUGAAGAAUGAGAACACAUGGACACAGAGAGGGGAACAUCACACACUAGGGCCUGUCAGGGGGUGUGGGUCUAGGGGAGGGAUAGCAUUUGCAGAAAUACCUAAUGUAGACGACAGGUUGAUGGGUGCAGCAAACCACCAUGGCACGUGUAUAUAUGUAACAAACCUGCACAUUCUCCACAUGUAUCCCAGAACUUAAAGUAUAAUUUUAAAAAGCCAUCUUUAGAAGAACUUAUGAAUGGUAAUAUUAUCAGAAGAUAAGCCUAAAAAGCUUAAAUGUCUUAAAUUCAUUUUUAGUUGUAUUGUAUGUUAUAUACUCUGGGGAAAGAAGGAUGGAGAUCAUGUAAAAUGGACUAACGAUUUUCCUUCUCUGCCUCAAACACUUUUUGUCAGCAUUAUCACAAUAAGUAUAGUUAGUUGUAUGUUGUGCUAAACACAUUAAAGUCUUCUUAUUAAUACCCAUUUUAACCUUAUGUGGUAGGUUUUAUUGUCAGUAUAAAUCUAGGUUAAACUUUUUAACCAGAGUAGAUGAUGGUUUCAGGGCCAACACUAGUCUGUUGUCCUCCUAAGCCCUCUUGAAUAUUAUAGUAUAUUCUUCCCAUGGGAGUCCAAGAAAAGCCUGGAAAAAACAAGGGAUCAAGGGAAUGGAGGAAGAUGUUUUGUGGGAAGAAGAUAUAUGAGUUGUACUUGAGUAUAAAUCAUGCAUAGUGGUGUGCUAUGAAGUCUCUCCACACAUGACCGAGUUUACCUCAUAGAGCCUUCAACAAAAUUUCAUAUCUGAUUUUCUUUGAAGUAGUCUGAGUAUUAAAGAAAAGAAUGGAAAUUUGAUCCAGGGUUAAUUGCAGAGAUAACCAGAGAUGGCUAUAAAAAUACUAUAACUAUUUUUAAGCUAGACAGCUAUUUGUCUUUUAAUAUAAACUCAGUAAUUGAUAUGCCUAAACAUUCUGUCCAAUAUCAGUGAAUAUUUUUCUGACUUAUGAUUUAUUAUUUUAACUGACAGAUAAAAUUCUAUACAUUAUAUGUCUUAAAUUAUAUAUACAUGUGGAAUGACUGAAUCUAGCUAAUAGAAAUAUGCAUUACCUCACAUACUUGUCAUUUAUGUGGUGAGAACACAAGUGUUUUAAAUAUGUUUGCCAAAUUUCAGUUAAAAAACAGAAUUAAAUUUAAAAUGCCUAUAAUUCACAAUGUGGCCAUAAAAAUUAAUCGGAUCAAAUGGAUCAAAGCCAUUCAAAUAUAUCCUUAUUAACUGUUCUUGAUAUGGUAAAAUGUAGCUCAUAUUGUUUCAGAAUUUGAUUUUUUAGAUGUGGUUAUAAUUCUGCCAUACAAAGAAAGCUGCAUGGUUGAGAGAGAUUUCAAUUCCAAACUUGCAGUACAAAAACAACACUGCCACUUACCAGCCCUGCCACAACUUGCAAAUCACUUAAGCUUUCUGAGCUCCAUUAUAUUCAUCUAGGAAGUAGGAUCAAUGCACAAAAUAUUUUCAGUGAAUGCAGAGUAGGAGAUGACAAAAAGAGCCAUGCUCUAAUUCCACUCCACAUGAACACUUAAGAUAUUUCUCUCCAGAAAUCACCUGUAGACAAUAGAAAAAUAAAUUCAUACCCACUUAGUUAACUGUGUGAGAAUGUAAAUUUAAAGCAUUUUUGACUAGGGAAACUUUAUCAUAAUAAAAUGCUUUAAUUUCCCUGCGCAUGAAAUAUUUCCCCCAAGGAAUGUAUCUAUUAAUGGCAUGCUAUGAUUAAUUAAUUGGUUCUGGGAACUAUUAUACCAUAUUAGUCACUUUCACAUUAGUGUUCCCAAGAGUGGUGAAUAAAUAAGACAGUCACUGCACUUCUACAUGUCCAUUUUCUGCCAAGACGUUUUGCUGAUGUGCAGUUUCUGUGCAGUUUCCCACAGUGUACUUCUCGGCUGACUUAGUUCAAGCUUUGUUAGUUUAAUGCUUAGAAAAGCCUCAUGUUCUUGCAGAAAAUCUUUUGCUCUCAUUACUUUUUUGUGAUAUUAUGGACAACAAUUUCCCUAGGGAGCAUGGCAAUUGAUCCCAGCAGGAUUAUUUACGGUGACAUGGUGGCACUGUUGCCAAUGGGGGCAUUGUCAAAGGGUAGGCUCCUUCAAUGUCAAUUUUAACCCAGCAGCAAAUUCUGCAGUACUAAAUAAUUCUGUCUAUUUUCUUUCUAGUCAGGUAACUGCUGUCAAAUUAAAGAGGUCUUCAAAACUCACAGCACAGUUUUGCUUUUUCAUUACUACAUCUGCAAUUUGAUUGGUGUUAUAUAUUUUCUUGCAUGAAUGAACAUCAAUUAAAGGAGAUGAACAUUUAUAGGAAAUUUAUUCAACUAGAGAGGGUUGCAAUUUUUACAUGUCAACCAUCUGAAUUCAUAUUGCAGUGAUAUUUUUGGAAAACAAGAACUUGUAGAUUAAAUAAGUUUUAUUAGUAUUUCAAAUAAAAUAAAAUAAUUUUCUUAAAAUAUUAAAGCAAAAUCACUGAUAUAUGCCUAUUAAAAUAUUAAAUUAAGUAAAUAUGGUAUUACUACUAAAAUAACUUACAUUUCUGACACGUCACUUACAUUUUAAUUCAGCCUUCCUAAUAAUCCAACUAUAUACCACAUAUUGUUAUGAUGAGGUAACUAAUCCUCAGAGAUACAGAUAACCUUUUCGAAUUAGUGUAUAUAUUAAGUUUAUGAUGGAAGUUUUUGACACUACAUUUAACAUUUUUUUUCUAUGCUACGUUGGUCCUUUCCCUUCAAAAGCUCUUGAAGAACAUUGAAAGAAGGCAACGGCCUUCAUCUGCAUUUCAACCAUCAAAGCAACCAUCACCCUUGUUCACAUACCUAUCGUGAGACAAAAAGAAAUACUUACAUUAAUUUCUAACAUCAUCUCACAGAGUUAAUAUUUUAUUUGUGAACAUUUUACAUCCACUGUCAGCAUUUUUCAAGAACACAAUAUAUUGGUAACUAAAGUCACCAUGUUGUACCAUAGAUCUCUUAAAAUUUUAUUCCUCCUAUCUAACUGUAGUUUUCUAUCCUUUGAUGAACAUCUUUCAAAUCUCAUUUCCAACCACUCCAACCUCUGGUAAUUACCCUUCUACUGUCUACUUAUAUAAGUUAAACUCUUUUAGAUUCCACAUAUGACAGAGUUUAUGUGGUAUUUGUCUUCCUGUGGCUGGAUUUUUGACUUAACGUAAUGUCUUCCAAGUUCACACUUGUCACAAAUGCCAGAAUUUCCUUCUUUUCUGUGGUUGAAUAGUAUUCCAUUGUGUAUAUAUGUCAUGUUUUCUUUAUCCAUUAACCUGUUCAUGGACACAGGUUGACUCCAGAUCUUGGCUACUGUGAAUAGUGCUACAAUAAACAUGGGAGUGUGGAUAUCUCUUCAAUACACUGGUUUUGUACUCUCUCUCUCUCUCUCUCUCUCUCUCUC
rnacentral:lncRNA from 1 species